AGUGAACGCUGGCGGUAGGCCUAACACAUGCAAGUCGAACGGCAGCACAGUAAGAGCUUGCUCUUACGGGUGGCGAGUGGCGGACGGGUGAGGAAUACAUCGGAAUCUACUUUUUCGUGGGGGAUAACGUAGGGAAACUUACGCUAAUACCGCAUACGACCUACGGGUGAAAGCAGGGGAUCUUCGGACCUUGCGCGAUUGAAUGAGCCGAUGUCGGAUUAGCUAGUUGGCGGGGUAAAGGCCCACCAAGGCGACGAUCCGUAGCUGGUCUGAGAGGAUGAGCGGCACAGCGGGAGAGGACAGCGCGUCAACAACAGGAGGAGGCGAGGCAGGGGGGAAUAGUGAACGAGGGGCGAAAGCGUGAUCCAUCCAUACCGCGUGGGGGAGGCAGGCCUUCGGGUGGUAACGCCCUUUGGAGGGAAAAAAAAAGCAGCACAUCAAUACGCCGUUGUCCCGCCGGUACCCAAAGAAUAAGCACCGGCUAACGCCGUGCCAGCAGCGGCGGAAACAUGCGGAAUAGCCCCCUUCUGAAC
rnacentral:rRNA from 1 species